CCUACGGGCGGCAGCAGUGGGGAAUAUUGGGCAAUGGGCGCAAGCCUGACCCAGCAACGCCGCGUGAAGGAAGAAGGCUUUCGGGUUGUAACCCUCUUUUGUCAGGGAAGAGUAGAAGACGGUACCUGACGAAUAAGCCACGGCUAACUACGUGCCAGCAGCCGCGGUAAUACGGAGGUGGCAAGCGUUGUCCGGAUUUACUGGGUGGAAAGGGCGUAUAGCCGGGUUGACAAGUCAGUUGUGAAAUCCUGCGGCUUAACCGCAGAACUGCAUUGGAAACUGUUGAUCUGGAGUACUGGAGAGGCAGAUGGAAUUCCUAGUGUAGCGGUGAAAUGCGUAGAUAUUAGGAGGAACACCAGUGGCGAAGGCAGUCUGCUGGACAGCAACUGACGGUGAGGCGCGAAAGCGUGGGGAGCAAACAGGAUUAGAUACCCGGGUAGUC
rnacentral:rRNA from 1 species